rnacentral:rRNA from 1 species
ACGAACGCUGGCGGCGUGCCUAAUACAUGCAAGUAGAACGCACAGUUUAUACCGUAGCUUGCUACACCAUAGACUGUGAGUUGCGAACGGGUGAGUAACGCGUAGGUAACCUGCCUGGUAGCGGGGGAUAACUAUUGGAAACGAUAGCUAAUACCGCAUAAUAUUGAUUAUUGCAUGAUAAUUGAUUGAAAGAUGCUAUUGCAUCACUACCAGGUGGACCUGCGUUGUAUUAGCUAGUAGGUGAGGUAACGGCUCACCUAGGCGACGAUACAUAGCCGACCUGAGAGGGUGAUCGGCCACACUGGGACUGAGACACGGCCCAGACUCCUACGGGAGGCAGCAGUAGGGAAUCUUCGGCAAUGGACGAAAGUCUGACCGAGCAACGCCGCGUGAGUGAAGAAGGUUUUCGGAUCGUAAAGCUCUGUUGUAAGAGAAGAACGGGUGUGAGAGUGGAAAGUUCACACUGUGACGGUAUCUUACCAGAAAGGGACGGCUAACUACGUG